UGCUUCUGUUGAUGACUCUGCUAGUGCUAUGAGAAGCUCAUUCCUGUUUUCCAGUUCUAGGGGAGGAGUAACCCUGGCACAUGCCUUGGGGCCAUAGACAACUAUCUCCCAGGCAACUCCAAGAUGGGACUCCAGGCAUGACAGUGAAAAAUCGGUUGGGAUACUUUUCCAUUCGCCUGAACAGAAAGGCAAAUACCAUGUGACUAGGAGUGACCAGUCAGACAGCUUGAAUAUUAAAUACUGAAGACUUACAGUAGCCUUUCAGCAGAAUAUGUGUCAAAAGCUUUUCAGACAAGAAUAAUGAAUACUAUUAAAAAGAUACCUUAUAAGGAUAGUCUAAGCAUGGCUUCUGGUCUUGCUCAGGCUAGGACUGAAGGAAAUCUGGGGAUAUGUAAGUGGACUACAACUACAGGAAAGUAAUCCAUUGUAUGGCAGCAAUAAGAGUAGCCAGUUUGUCUCACAGCUAAUGUAGGCAUUAUUC